UCAACAGAGGGAUGCAAAACCGUGAGGUGGAGCGAACCCCUAAAAAUCGUCCCAGUUCAGAUUGCAGUCUGCAACUCGACUGCAUGAAGUCGGAAUCGCUAGUAAUCGCGGAUCAGCAUGCCGCGGUGAAUACGUUCCCGGGCCUUGUACACACCGCCCGUCACACCAUGAGAGUCGGGAACACCCGAAGUCCGUAGCCUAACCGCAAGGGGGGCGCGGCCGAAGGUGGGUUCGAUAAUUGGGGUGAAGUCGUAACAAGGUAGC
rnacentral:rRNA from 1 species